rnacentral:rRNA from 1 species
UACGAAGGGGGCUAGCGUUGUUCGGAAUCACUGGGCGUAAAGCGCACGUAGGCGGAUCUUUAAGUCAGAGGUGAAAUCCCAAGGCUCAACCUUGGAACUGCCUUUGAUACUGGGGAUCUUGAGUCCGGGAGAGGUGAGUGGAACUGCGAGUGUAGAGGUGAAAUUCGUAGAUAUUCGCAAGACACCAGUGGCGAAGGCGGCUCACUGGCCCGGUACUGACGCUGAGGUGCGAAAGCGUGGGGAGCAAACAG